UACGAAGGGGGCGAGCGUUAUUCGGAAUCACUGGGCGUAAAGCGUGCGUAGGCUGUUUAGCAAGUUGGAAGUGAAAGCCCAGGGCUCAACCCUGGAAUUGCUUUCAAAACUGCAAAACUAGAGUCCGGGAGAGGAUAGCGGAAUUCCCAGUGUAGUAGUGAAAUACGUAGAUAUUGGGAGGAACACCAGUGGCGCAAGCGGCUAUCUGGACCGGUACUGACGCUGAGGCACGAAAGCGUGGGGAUCAAACAGG
rnacentral:rRNA from 1 species